CAGGAUCGUGCUACCAACCUGGGUUUUCAUGCCAAGACCCUUGGAGAUCUAGUGAUGUUUUUUCAAAGUACAUGUAGUACGUUGCCUCCUUCUCAGGAUGAGCUUCUGUUGAGAUAUGAAUAUCAAGUAGAUAACUCCUUGUUGGGUGAAGAGACUUUCGCCUA